AUGACACCACCUGUGAAGAAUAGGAACCCCAGAUCAAAUUCCUCAUAUGGAUCAAAGUCCUCAUGUGAACAUCAUCGUGCUAACACCUCUGUUUCGCAGGGAAAAACUAAGGGCUGUGAAUAUGUGCAUUAUUCUUCAAACCAUUAUGUUCAUAAGUCCUCGAAGAAUUUCUCUGCUUAUUCAUAUGCGUACCCUAACCCCUCUUAUGUGAAACGAAGUGGAUUGGCAUCUAUGCCACCUUUCUUUUAUGGAGCUCGCAGAAUGAUGAACUCUUUGCCACCCCUCCAGAUGUGGGUGGUGAAGAAAAAUAACUAA
rnacentral:rRNA from 1 species